UGAGAAAUCCGACCACAAAUGAGAGACCCGAUCACAACCAUUGACAGCAUAUAGGCGGCCAGGAAGUAUCGUGGGAUGCUUGUCUGAAACGAAGUGAAGUUUGUAUUUGGAUGUUAUAUCCCCAAACAGCUGAAAUAUCUAUGUCUGGUCUGUCUUGUGAUGUAAUAUUUAGUAUUGCAUGCCAAGGUAGCUGUCGGUCUGAUGUUCUGGAUGCUGGCAAGUAAGUAAAUAUAAGUGUUUGCUUUAUGUAGGAUGAGUUUGAUCAGACUUUAGCUUCAUCCCAGGAAUCAUUUAUCUUAAAUUUGUGUGCAUGCAUCCUUAUAAGCCAGUAGGGAUAAAUAACUGAUAUAAAAAUCAGAAGACUCAACAAAAGAACAAAUAGCAUACAAUGCAACCAAAAUGAGACAACUAUAGAAA
rnacentral:lncRNA from 1 species